AGCCCAAAACAAGGCUUCUCUCCU
rnacentral:siRNA from 1 species